GCCCGGAUGGCGGAACUGGUAGACGCAAGGGACUUAAAAUCCCUCGGCCUUUGGCCGUCCGAGUUCGAUUCUCGGUCCGGGCACCA
rnacentral:tRNA from 1 species